rnacentral:tRNA from 1 species
CGCCGAUGGGCCGGCACGGCCGUCGGCGUCCUGGUCGCCGGGCUGCUGAUGAUGGCCUGUUCGGCGCCGGACAGCGGCGC